rnacentral:tRNA from 1 species
GCCGGGGUAGCACAGCUUGGCCUACUGCGUCGGACUCAUAAUCCGAAGAUCGCGGGCUCGAAUCCCGCCCCCGGCA